rnacentral:rRNA from 1 species
GCGAUUGGGCAAGGCGACGAUCCGUAGCUGGUCUGAGAGGAUGAUCAGCCACACUGGGACUGAGACACGGCCCAGACUCCUACGGGAGGCAGCAGUGGGGAAUAUUGGACAAUGGGGGCAACCCUGAUCCAGCAAUGCCGCGUGUGUGAAGAAGGCCUUCGGGUUGUAAAGCACUUUUAUCCGGAACGAAACGCGCAGGGUGAAUAUCCUUGCGAACUGACGGUACCGGAGGAAUAAGCACCGGCUAACUUCGUGCCAGCAGCCGCGGUAAUCCCCUGUGUGAA